rnacentral:lncRNA from 1 species
GGACCGGAGUCUAGGGGACUGAGGGACCAAGAGGAACAGAGACUCAGGCCCGGGACUGGGGCACCGGGGUGGGAGAUGGAAAUGGAAAACCUGGGCCAGGACUGAACCCAGCCAGGCCUGGGACUGGGUUCUGGAAAUAAGAGUGCGGAUGGCGGUUUGGGGGCCCAGGGCCAGACACGCAGGCCUAUGGAUUGGGGACCAAUGGAUGGAGACCCAGGUCCAGGUCUCGGGGACCCAGGGACAGAGACCCAGGCCCAAGACUGGAGGACAUCUAGGGCUCUGUGCUUGAACCUGAUUUGAGGUUCCCAUAAUGGGGCCAGGGCAGGUUUGGGGGUGAAGCAGACGUCCUGG